AACGAACGCUGGCGGCAGGCUUAACACAUGCAAGUCGAACGAUGUAGCCAUACAUAGUGGCGCACGGGUGAGUAACGCGUGGGAAUGUACAAUUUGGUGGGGAAUAACUCCGGGAAACUGGAGCUAAUACCGCAUACGCCCUUCGGGGGAAAGAUUUAUCGCCAAAUGAUCAGCCCGCGUGAGAUUAGGUAGUUGGUGGGGUAAUGGCCUACCAAGCCGAUGAUCUCUAGCUGGUCUCAGAGGAUGAUCAGCCACACUGGAACUGAGACACGGUCCAGACUCCUACGGGAGGCAGGAGUGGGGAAUAUUGGGCAAUGGACGAAAGUCUGAACCAGCCAUGCCGCGUGAGUGCUGAAGGCUCUAGGGUUGUAAAGCUCUUUCGCCGAUGAAGAUAAUGACGGUAGUCGGAGAAGAAGCCCCGGCUAACUUCGUGCCAGCCGCCGCAGUAA
rnacentral:rRNA from 1 species